CUUCUUCUGGUGCUUUCUAUAGGGGAAUAGCUGCUGACCUCUCACAAACAAGUUCUGUCCAGGUGGCAGCUUGCCAAUAAGACAGGCAACCACUUAGAAAAUGAGCAUUCCUCAUUUCUUUUCCUGAAAGACAUCAACCACACCUGGAUGCUUAAAUGAGGACAAUGGUUUGAUUUCUUAUUUGAAAGAGCGGCCCAGGAUGCCCCAGCCCAUUUCUCAGUGCUGCAGUCACAGAAGUCUAGCUUUGACAAAUGAGAAUGAGGAAAGCUUUCCCAAUCUCUUGUGCACCCAUUUCUAUGUGUCCAGUUAGAACCUAAAGGCACCCACAGUAAUGAGGUGUGCCUGAAAAU